rnacentral:tRNA from 3 species
GCCCAGGUGCUGAAAUUGGUAGACAGGCAUGGUUGAGGGCCAUGUGUCCGUUAGGGCGUGUGGGUUCGAGUCCCACCCUGGGCACGA